rnacentral:misc_RNA from 1 species
AACGCACAUUGCGCCCCUUGGUAUUCCAAGGGGCAUGCCUGUUCGAGCGUCAUUUGUACUCUCAAGCCUUGCUUGGUGUUGGGUGAUUGUCUUUGCUCUGCUUAGACUCGCCUUAAAUAUAUUGGCAGCUAAUAUAUUAGUUUGAAGCGCAGCACAAUUGCAAUUCAAGCCUUUAGUAUUCGCAUCCAUGAAGUUAUUUAACACUUUUGACCUCGGAUCAGGUAGGGAUACCCGCUGAACUUAA